GCUCCUUUUGUUCAGAAAAUUAAUUGAAACAGGCGUUGAAGAUGUUGUUACGGAUUGUAAGACUCAUAAGGUUGUAGUGAAGGGAGAAAAAGCAGAUCCAUUGAAGGUUUUAGAAAGAGUCCAGAAAAAGAGUCACCGGAAAGUCGAGCUUCUGUCGCCGAUCCCGACACCGGAGGCGGAGGAGCCCAAGAAGCCUGAACAAGAAGAACCUGCAAAAUCGGAAGAAAAGAAAGAUGAGGUUAAUUAAUUAAUUUGUUGUAAUAUUGAUUAAAUUGAUUUAAUUUUGUGAGCUUUCUUGUAACUUUUUUUUUUUUUCGUUUAAAUGCAGCAGCCAACGGUUAUUUCAGUAGUUUUGAAAGUACACAUGCAUUGUGAAGCUUGUGCUCAAGAGAUCAGAAAACGUAUUCUCAAGAUGAAGGGUAAAUUUUUGUUUACAAUUUUUUCAAAUAUAAACAGAAAAACACCUUUUUUUAGAAAACUAGAAUCUUGUUGGACUUUUCUCUUUAUUUAUUGAAUCUACAGAAAAAAAAAUAUUAAUUUAAAUUCCUUUGUAAUUUUUAACAACUCAAUAUACUUGUAUUCAUCUAUCACCAUCUGUAUAUUCUCUUAUUUGUACUGUUUUGUUCUUCGUUUCCAAGUCAAAAAAUCUCAUAAUCUUGGAUUUACUCAAGAAAAUCUCUCUAAAUAUAAUUUGACUUUGGAUUUUUGUGGGUAUGAUUGCAGGGGUGGAAAGUGUAGUGCCGGAUCUAAAGAGCUCACAGGUGGAGGUGAAAGGGACUUUUCCGGCGGCGGAGUUGGUUGAUUACGUGCACAAAAGAACAGGGAAAAUCGCCGUGAUCGUGAAGCAAGAUCCGGAGCCAAAGAAAGAGGAAGACGCUAACGGUAAAGAUGAGAAAAAGGGUGGCGACGGCGGUGGUGAGAAGAAAGAAGAGAAGAAAGCCGAUGAAGGCGGUGAGAAGCAAGAAGCAACGGCGAAACCAGAGGACGCGGCGGCGGCGGCGGCGGUGUUGGAGCUGAGGAAGAAUGAAUAUUACUAUUAUCAGCCAGCAAAUUACCAGUUAUACCCUCCACGAUACGCCGCAGAGGCGGCCUAUGCGUACCCACCAGCUCCAGAAAUGUUCAGUGACGAAAACCCCAAUGCGUGCAGUGUAAUGUAAAUAAUGAAGGGGUAAAAUUGGAAAAGCACAUGGAAACAAGCUAUGGC
rnacentral:lncRNA from 1 species